UAGAAGGAGUCAUAGUUCCACUAAUCAGGAGGUCUAGAAGGAGUCAUAGUUCCACUAAUCAGGAGGUCUAGAAGGAGUCAUAGUUCCACUAACCAGGAGGUCUAGAAGGAGUCAUAGUUCCACUAAUCAGGAGGUCUAGAAGGAGUCAUAGUACCACUAAUCAGGAGGUCCAGAAGGAGUCAUAGUUCCACUAAUCAGGAGGUCUAGAAGGAGUCAUAGUUCCACUAAUCAGGAGGUCUAGAAGGAGUCAUAGUACCACUAAUCAGGAGGUCCAGAAGGAGUCAUAGUUCCACUAAUCAGGAGGUCUAGAAGGAGUCAUAGUUCCACUAAUCAGGAGGUCUAGAAGGAGUCAUAGUUCCACUAAUCAGGAGGUCUAGAAGGAGUCAUAGUACCACUAAUCAGGAGGUCUAGAAGGAGUCAUAGUUCCACUAAUCAGAGCUCCUAAAAUGACUCCACAGACAGUGAACUACUUUCUCCAUCCAGCUGUAAAAACAGACAUCAGCUGCUUCAGACUUGGUUCAGGGGUUCUCCAUGGAAACCAGAGUUAGUGUGAAGCUCAGACAGUGUGAAGGAACCUUCAGAACAUCAACCUCUAUGG